rnacentral:rRNA from 1 species
GACGAACGCUGGCGGCGUGCCUAAUACAUGCCAGUAGAACGCUGAAGGAGGAGCUUGCUUCUCUGGAUGAGUUGCGAACGGGUGAGUAACGCGUAGGUAACCUGCCUGGUAGCGGGGGAGAACUAUUGGAAACGAUAGCUAAUACCGCAUAAGAGUAGAUGUUGCAUGACAUUUGCUUAAAAGGUGCAAUUGCAUCACUACCAGAUGGACCUGCGGUGUAUUAGCUAGUUGGUGGGGUAACGGCUCACCAAGGCGACGAUACAUAGCCGACCUGAGAGGGUGGACGGCCCACAUGGGACUGGGGAAACGCCCAGGCUCCCUCGGGGGGCAGCCGUAGGGGAUCUUCGGCCAUGGACGGAAGUCUGACCGAGCAACGCCGCGUGAGUGGAGGAGGGUUUCGGAUCGUAAAGCUCUGUUGUAAGAGAAGAACGAGUGUGAGAGUGGAAAGUUCACGCUGUGACGGUAUCUUACCAGAAAGCGACGGCUAACUACGUG